GACAGAGGGUGCAAACGUUGCUCGGAAUCACUGGGCGUAAAGGGCGUGUAGGCGGGAAGGAAAGUCAGAUGUGAAAUCCCCAGGCUCAACCUGGGAACUGCAUUUGAAACUCCCUUUCUUGAGUACCGGAGAGGAAAGUGGAAUUCCUGGUGUAGAGGUGAAAUUCGUAGAUAUCAGGAGGAACACCAGUGGCGAAGGCGGCUUUCUGGACGGUAACUGACGCUGAGACGCGAAAGCCAGGGGAGCAAACGGG
rnacentral:rRNA from 1 species